rnacentral:rRNA from 1 species
AUUGAACGCUGGCGGCAGGCCUAACACAUGCAAGUCGAGCGGGGUUUUCGGACCUAGCGGCGGACGGGUGAGUAAUGCGUAGGAAGCUACCCGAUAGAGGGGGAUACCAGUUGGAAACGACUGUUAAUACCGCAUAAUGUCUACGGACCAAAGUGUGGGACCUUCGGGCCACAUGCUAUCGGAUGCGCCUACGUGGGAUUAGCUAGUUGGUGAGGUAAUGGCUCACCAAGGCGACGAUCCCUAGCUGGUUUGAGAGGAUGAUCAGCCACACUGGAACUGAGACACGGUCCAGACUCCUACGGGAGGCAGCAGUGGGGAAUAUUGGACAAUGGGCGCAAGCCUGAUCCAGCCAUGCCGCGUGUGUGAAGAAGGCCUUCGGGUUGUAAAGCACUUUCAGUAGGGAGGAAGCGUUGUGUGUUAAUAGCACAUAGCUUUGACGUUACUCGCAGAAGAAGCACCGGCUAACUCUGUGCCAGCAGCCGCCGUAACAC